rnacentral:rRNA from 1 species
AUUGAACGCUGGCGGCAGGCCUAACACAUGCAAGUCGAGCGGAUGAAGGGAGCUUGCUCCUGGAUUCAGCGGCGGACGGGUGAGUAAUGCCUAGGAAUCUGCCCGGUAGUGGGGGAUAACGUCCGGAAACGGGCGCUAAUACCGCAUACGUCCUGAGGGAGAAAGUGGGGGAUCUUCGGACCUCACGCUAUCAGAUGAGCCUAGGUCGGAUUAGCUAGUUGGUGGGGUAAAGGCCUACCAAGGCGACGAUCCGUAACUGGUCUGAGAGGAUGAUCAGUCACACUGGAACUGAGACACGGUCCAGACUCCUACGGGAGGCAGCAGUGGGGAAUAUUGGACAAUGGGCGAAAGCCUGAUCCAGCCAUGCCGCGUGUGUGAAGAAGGUCUUCGGAUUGUAAAGCACUUUAAGUUGGGAGGAAGGGCAGUAAGUUAAGACCUGGCUGUUUUGACGUUACCAACAGAAUAAGCACCGGCUAACUUCGU